AACGAACGCUGGCGGCAGGCUUAACACAUGCAAGUCGAGCGCCCCGCAAGGGGAGCGGCAGACGGGUGAGUAACGCGUGGGAAUCUACCCAUCUCUACGGAAUAACGCAUGGAAACGUGUGCUAAUACCGUAUACGUCCUUCGGGAGAAAGAUUUAUCGGAGAUGGAUGAGCCCGCGUUGGAUUAGCUAGUUGGUGGGGGAAAGGCCUACCAAGGCGACGAUCCAUAGCUGGUCUGAGAGGAUGAUCAGCCACACUGGGACUGAGACACGGCCCAGACUCCGACGGGAGGCAGCAGUGGGGAAUAUUGGACAAUGGGCGCAAGCCUGAUCCAGCCAUGCCGCGUGAGUGAUGAAGGCCCUAGGGUUGUAAAGCUCUUUCACCGGUGAAGAUAAUGACGGUAACCGGAGAAGAAGCCCCGGCUAACUUCGUGCCAGCCGCCGCAGUAAAAC
rnacentral:rRNA from 1 species